rnacentral:rRNA from 1 species
AAAUGAAUAGACGGGGGCCCGCACAAGCGGUGGAGCAUGUGGUUUAAUUCGACGCAACGCGAAGAACCUUACCAGGGUUUGACAUCCCCUGACCGCUGCUGAAAGGCAGUCUUCUAUCUUCGGAUAGACAGGGAGACAGGUGGUGCAUGGUUGUCGUCAGCUCGUGUCGUGAGAUGUUGGGUUAAGUCCCGCAACGAGCGCAACCCCUACGUUUAGUUGCUAACGCGUAAAGGCGAGCACUCUAGACGAACUGCCGUUGACAAAACGGAGGAAGGUGGGGAUGACGUCAAAUCAUCAUGCCCCUUAUAUCCUGGGCUACACACGUGCUACAAUGGCCGGUACAGAGGGCAGCGAAGCCGCGAGGCGGAGCAAAUCCCAAAAAGCCGGUCUCAGUUCGGAUUGCAGGCUGCAACUCGCCUGCAUGAAGUCGGAAUCGCUAGUAAUCGCAGGUCAGCAUACUGCGGUGAAUACGUUCCCGGGCCUUGUACACACCGCCCGU